CGCGUAGGCGGCCACCGCAAGUCGACUGUGAAAUCUCCGGGCUUAACCCGGAACGGUCAGCCGAUACUGCGGGGCUAGAGUGCAGAAGGGGCAACUGGAAUUCUCGGUGUAGCGGUGAAAUGCGUAGAUAUCGAGAGGAACACCUGCGGCGAAGGCGGGUUGCUGGGCUGACACUGACGCUGAAGUGCGAAAGCUAGGGGAGCGAACG
rnacentral:rRNA from 1 species